rnacentral:other from 1 species
GAAGUGCUGUCUGGUUCGUAUUUCCGCAGAUCUUCCGAGCCAACAUUAUUUUUUAGGGAGCUGUCCCUGUGCGAAUCCUGGUUCGUUCAAAUGGCACCCACUUUGUGAAACGCGGUUCGAUAAGAAUGUAAACUAAUACGGCCAGCUGGCUCCCUC